CCUACGGGAGGCAGCAGUGGGGAAUAUUGCGCAAUGGACGAAACCCUGACGCAGCGACGCCGCGUGAGGGAUGAAGGUCUUCGGAUCGUAAACCUCUGUCAGCAGGGAAGAACGGUCACUGUGCUAAUCAGCAGUGAAUUGACGGUACCUGCAAAGGAAGCACCGGCUAACUCCGUGCCAGCAGCCGCGGUAAUACGGAGGGUGCGCGCGUUAAUCGGAAUUACUGGGCGUAAGGCGCUCGUAGGCGGUAUGUCAAGUCAAGGGGGAAAUCCCCGCGCUCAACGUGGGAACUGCCGUUGAAACUGGCAAACUGGAGUGUGUGAGAGGAUAGUGGAAUUCCAGGUGUAGGGGUGAAAUGCGUAGAUAUCUGGAGGAACAUCAGUGGCGAAGGCGACUAUCUGGCACAUAACUGACGCUGAGGAGCGAAAGCGUGGGGAGCAAACAGGAUUAGAUACCCGGGUAGUC
rnacentral:rRNA from 1 species